UACGGGGGGGGCAAGCGUUGUUCGGAAUUACUGGGCGUAAAGCGUGUGUAGGCGGCUUUGCAAGUCGGAUGUGAAAGCCCCGGGCUCAACCCGGGAAGUGCACUCGAUACUGCAGGGCUUGAGUGUCGGAGAGGUUGGUGGAAUUCUCGGUGUAGAGGUGAAAUUCGUAGAUAUCGAGAGGAACACCGGCGGCGAAGGCGGCCAACUGGACGAACACUGACGCUGAGACACGAAAGCGUGGGGAGCAAACAGG
rnacentral:rRNA from 1 species